UACGUAGGCAGCGAGCGUUGUUCGGAGUUACUGGGCGUAAAGGGUGUGUAGGCGGUUCUUUUAGUUUGGUGGGAAAUCUCCCGGCUCAACCGGGAGGGUGCGCCGAAUACUGAGGGACUAGAGUGCGGGAGAGGAAAGUGGAAUUCCUGGUGUAGCGGUGAAAUGCGUAGAUAUCAGGAGGAACACCGGUGGUGUAGACGGCUUUCUGGACCGUAACUGACGCUGAGACACGAAAGCGUGGGUAGCAAACAGG
rnacentral:rRNA from 1 species